rnacentral:lncRNA from 1 species
GGGAGACUCGAUUGAUGCGCAUCUCCAUCUCCACUACUAUUAAACAAUCAAACAAGAGUUUUCUUACACGCACCCCACAAUUAGCCCCACAACACCGCACAACCCAGUCAGAACCAUAGUAUUAGUCCCACAAAUCUUAAUCUAACGGCCAUCAUUUAUCUAAUAGCAGGAUAGUGUGUACUUAUCAAUUUCUAAUGACUGGCCGUACUCCAUCACCAGAGGAGUUUUCCAACAACCAGUCCCGUGUUUCCCUACAAUCACGCAAUUAGAUCGCAAACUAAGAAAACUCAAACAAAUCUGCUCCCUCAUCCUUGACCUCGACGUUUGUCUGCCUUGCGUCACCACUGCACCAGACGCCGCCCACGCCAUCGCCGAUUGUUGCCGCUCGCAGCAUGGAAUCCGUCAUCGACGUGGCGGGCACCCAGGAACCUGCCCUCGCAGCAUGGCAUCCAUCCGCGAGAUCGCCUGCCUCGACACCCCCAUGGCAACGGCCGCCCUGCACAUCCCCUGAACCAGCCGGACACACGCAGCCGUAAUUCUUCCUGCACUUCUUCAGGUUUGACUUCUUCCUUUGACCUGUUGCAGCAUUACUCAGGAUUAGAAUUUUGAGAAUAGAGUUCUAAAAAAUAUAAACAGUUGGACAACAGAAUGCUAUAAGCCUUUCGUUUUACAUCUCUAAUUAAUGGUUUUCUAUGUGGAAAUGGUUCGUGUUUGAUUGUAACAAGAACUAAGAGCUAUACAUAUGUAAAGUUCAUGUUGCACAAUCAGACCGCCGUAUCUCUUUUACUGUGACAAAUCAGCUAUGCCGCUACAGAUCAGUAAUGGAAAUCAGCUAAACUUGCAUGCAUACCUCUCAGCUCCAUCAGAUCAGGCCAAAAGCUCUCAUGUGAGGAGUCACCGAGGAGCCUACUAGAACUUGUAGAGCUCACCCUUGUUGAGUACAGAGACCAUGGUGAGGAUGGAGAUUGGUGAACGAGCGAGAAGGCACUAGCAGAGAGACCAGUAGAAAUAGCAUGGCAGUAUCACAUCAUCAUGUUUUGCAGCAUCUUCCGAUUCUUCAGGACACUCAUCCUACUAGAAACAGAUAGUUAUCAAUAUACAGAAGAGAGACACCCCCAAACUGAAAGAUUAAACAACAGUGAGAAUGAACCAGACCGUAACAAAAUCCAAUAUCCGUUGAAACAGAAUUUUUUAGGCGAGCACUAGGCGCCGGCGCACCGGCCCAAAUUUGGGCCGGUCGCCUGCCCAACGUCCGAUAGAGAUGCACAGAACCGUUCGAUCCACAACCCCUUCGUCCCCAACCUCUCUCCCAGUGAAAAAAGUUGCGCCCCGUGCCCGAGCUCCGCAUGGUGAG